AUGGCGAGCUGGUGGACCGCCGAGGAGGUGCUGGACCAUCUGGACCUGGAGGAGGACUCCGUCGUGGCUCGGCUCAUUCAGGCCGUCGGGCUGUUCGGGGACAUCCUGUCCGUGGAGGACGCCAUGUCGGGGGAGGAGGAGGAGUGCAAAGAGGUGGAAGGAGCAGAAGAAGAACGCCAGGAACCGACGAUGGAGGGAGGCGAAGAAGAAAAGGUGGGAAACCAAGAGGAAGAGGAGAAAGAUGAUGAAGAUGUUGAAACGGAAAAGCUGGUAGAAUUGAGAGAAGAGGAGGAAGAAAGGGUAAGAAAGGGGGAGGCGGAGGAGGAGAUGCAGGGAAGAGAGGAAGAGCAGGUAUUAGAAAAGGAGGUAGACGAAGAGAAAAAUGAUGAAGAAAAGACUCAAAUAGAGGCAGAGGAAGGAGGAAGGCAAGAGUAUACAUUUGAGGAGGAAGGGGAGGAGAAGGAGGCAGAAGUAGGCAGUUUAAAAGAGGAGGAUGAGGAUAAACCCAUAUGGACAGUUGAGGCUGAUCAGGAAGAGACGCAAAGACGGGAUGAAGAAUUGGGAGAAGAAGGAAAGGAGCCCAGGAAAGAGGAUGCAAGCUAUGGAAGGGAAGAGUUAGAGGCUCAGGAGGAAGAAGAGGAGGAGGAAGAGGAGAUCAUGGGGGAUGGAAGCGAUAAGGACAGCCAUGAUGAAGAGGUUGAAGAACAGAGUGAGGUAGGGAUGGAGGACCUAGCAGAGAGAGAAGAGGGAGAAGAAGAAAGAAAUGAAAAAUACAGGAGGAUGGAGAAAAAAGCACAUGAAAGAAAGGUAGAAGAAGAAAAGACAGAGGCCUUAGACCAGGAAGUAAGAAAUGUAGAAGAAGAAAAUAUGGAGGCUCUAGGAAACAAAGAACAUGUAGAAGAAGAAAAGAUGGAGGCCUUAGGAGACAAUUUGGAAAAUGUAGAAGAAGAGGAAAAGAUGGCGGCGUUGGGAAACACUGUAGAAAAUGCAGAAGAAGAAGAAAAGAUGGAGGCCUUUGGAGACAAGGUGGACAAUUUGGAAGUAGAAAAAAAGAUGGAAGAUACAGGAGAUAAUAAGAUGGAGAAAGAAGAAGAGAUGGAGACCUUGGAACACAAAGUAGAACAUGAAGAAGAAGAAGAAGAGGCGGAGGAACCCAACAAUGAGCCAGCACACCAGAUCGAUCCCCCAGAUUCCCAGGAAUCAUCUCCCCCAUCGCCUCCACGAGCCUCUGAAUCUGCAAAAGCGCUGAGUCAUGCCGGUGCAGCGGCAGCAAAGGAACCCCGCCGAGACACCACAGAAGAAGAGCAGAGCUCAGGCGCUGCUAAAACCCUCAACAAUGACCUUCCAACAGCGGCGAGCAGAGACAAGGCGACGGAGGGACGGCAGAAUGCGACGGACACAAAGUCGGCGGACGCCCGUCCGGCCCUGAGGGAGGAGGAGGGAAGGAGUUUGGGAGAGCGUCUUGAAGCAACGCCGCUGACAUCACUUCCUGUCUCUGGACGGCCAGGAGAACCGGCAGGUGACCCCCAGGACACGACAGCUGAGCCACACACAGGUCGCGGAUCGGAGGCGAAGGCGUCGCUGGUGGACGGGGCCAGCGAGGCGCCGAGAGGGAGCAAAGAUCCGAGUCCGGCCGCGAACUCGUCCGCCGCUGGAAACCCAGAAGCGGGAGCACAGGAGGACAAAGAGCGAGGAAGUCCGAACCCUCUCGUCACAAACAGCGAGGCGGACGGCAAGAAGAACGGCAGCCAUCAGUCCUCCAAGUACAAAACCGUGUCCUUCAGGAGGAUCCGGAGAGGAAACACCCGGCAGAGGAUCGAUGAGUUUGAGGCUAUGAUGGACGCGUGA
ensembl:lncRNA